CUAAAUCUAACCCUAAACCUAAAAAUACAACUUCAGCCGCACCCAACCCCCAUCUCCAUCUUUGCCGCGUCCCAGCCACCCUAAACCCGCCAGAAAUCAACCAAAAUCCGGCACUCCACGUAAGCACUGGUCCCUUAUGGUCCCCCCUUCCCUUCGUUUCAUCUUCCACAUAGCAAAAUCCCAACGAAUCUCAUCAUUUCAAUCCGAUUCACGCGGAUUUCUUCUUCUAUUUCUUUCGUUUAAACAAAAAAUCCGGACCCUUGAAUAAAUCUGGGAAGAAUGGGAAUCGUUGGAUGAAAUUUUGUCCAAAAAUCUCAAUUUUUCCUAUUUUUAUUUGAGAAAGGGAUUUUCGGAUUUUAUCUGGUGGUCCCACAUGCUUUCUUGGAGAAGAAGGAGGAGGAAGCUUCGAGAGAGAGCUAUAUAUUUGAUGUUUUUCGGACAGAAAAAGGGGAGAAACAUUUGGAGAAUUUUUUGACAAAAAGAGCUAGGGUUUUUCGGAUUUUUGGUUGUUCCGUAAAUUUCAAUUCAUUGUAAAAUUAGAGUUUUCUUUUAGUGUUCUUUGAUUCUGUUUUGUUUCGUUUUUCAUAUAUAAAAAAAGAACAAAAAUUAUUUUCUUCUGAUUCGGAUUUUACAUCAAAGUCAGAAAAAUACAAAAAAAAAGAGUCAGUUUCUUCUUCUGGUUCUUGUUCGAAAUGGAGUUUAGCUGCGGUUCGAGGUUCGAUAUCAGUCGCCAAUCUAAAGUUCCGUCCGAGCUCCUGUCCGAUUCAUUUGCUUGUUUCUACGUUAGAAUUCUGGGAAUUGAAGCCGAGCUUCUGUUGAAUCAUAUAUUGUUACUUAAAGAGGAGUUCAACUUUACAGGUUCAUUCCCGCGUCCCUCUUAUUUAUUUGAAUUUGUUUGGAAUGGAUUGAAGUGUAAAGGAGUCAUUAAAAAAGGAUUAAAUAAGCAGUGAUUUCGAAGAUUGUGUUUAACUUCCCUCUUAUUCGAGUCUACGUUCUGUGUCGAUUGUAUGUGCGUUGAAUUUUUCCGGUGAAACCUCCUAGAUGAUAAAUGAGCAUGAACUGUUCGUAUCCCUGUUUGGUUCAGUCAGAUUGAUAUUUGAAGUAUUAGAACCAAUCGCGAUGAAACUGUGUAUUCAUUGUGUCGAGCGGAAAGUUGAUUUGUCAUUGUUUUUGCUUAUGAUUAAGUAGUCGAAGGCCUUCAGCCAUUAGAGUAGUAUGUUCUUUGACUUCAUCUCUGUUUAAGGUUUGGAGUUUCGAGUUUGGAUUUUCAUACUCUUUGAAACAUGUUUACAAAUAAAACCAUGCCUUCCAGUUAUCCAUAUCUGAAACGGAAUCACACUUUCUCAUAUGUGUUGAACUAGAAUUUCUCUGUUGUUUCCAUGACUAGACAGAAUAGUUCAGUUCACUUGGAUUUGUGAGUUGUUUUCCCAUAUAGUCAGUUCGAUCAUGAGUUAGUAAAUCAAAUAGUGUGCAUUUUAGAGAAAGGUAUGGCAUUAAUCAACUGGUAUUAGACUGCUGAUUGCGCUUAAUCUCCUGUGUUGCAAACUAAGUUUGGAUUAGUUUACUUUCAUCAUGGUCAAUCUUGGCAUGUUAAGUGUUUGAUUACCAGAACUGUAGUUUGUGUCCGCAUCAACAGUUUGCAUAAUUAUUCAGUUUAUUUGCUCAAAUGUGUGCUAGUGUACAUGAACUUUUCAUAAUAACAGGCUUGAUGUAGUGGGCAUUGGGUAUUUACUGUAUGAUUGUUUUCUUAUGCAAUGAAAAAGGGCGUUGUUUUCCGGUGUCGAAUGCAUUUUUGAGUUUACAGUGAGAAUUAGAAUAGUUAUUAAAUGGGUAAACAUGUGCUUAUGUGAUUUUAUUGGUAACGGGUAAUUGUUUGUAAAGAAAGGGAAGUAUGCAAUUAUUUGGUCUCCAAAGGGAUGGUGAGGUGGACAUGGUUGUUCUUGUCAUGCUUCAAUUCAUUUUCUUUACUGUAUUUUUCCUCUCCAUGAGCAUUGGAUGUUAUUUGUUAUUUCACUGAUUGGUUGUUGGAUAUGAAAUUGUUUGGAUAAUUGUUGGGCCGUGGGAGUAUGGAAAGACCGAAGCCCAUUAACGAUUGAUUUGUCUCCAUGCUUUAGGUGUCGGGCUCAGUCUAAUAAAAAACGAAAAGUUAAAAAGGGAAUGAACAUGAACUUAACUUUAUAUAUUUAGUUUUUAUUUGUUUUGCUUUUAUUAUAUUGCGCGCUAGGAGCAUGUUAGGCCGUCAUCAUUUGGGUAGGCAAGCUUUAGGAUUUGUGUUGGUUUCGAGGUGAGAGGUCAUUCCCUUAGUUAAAUUUAUCCGGGGAAUGCCCCAAAGGAUUUGUACAUAUUUUAUUUUGGGGAAUACCCCGUAGUAUUCUGUAACUGGAGGCCGAAAGCGAACUCGUAGUACUUUUAUUUCUAUUUCACUUUUGUAUUUAUCUUUCUUUUAUUAGGUGGGAAUGACCUCGAGCCUUUUGUGUUUUUUUUUUUGUGUUUGUUUUAGCUCAAUCUGAUUUUAAAAGCCAACUUGAUCGAGUACGCAACCGUGCUAGUUACGGGGUUCGGGGAGUGCCUAACACCUUCUCCCCGAGUCAAAUGACCCCCCUUACCCAAAUCUAUGGUGCAGAUUUAGUUUUGGAACCUAAAGUAUUUUAAAGGAAAAAAACAUUUUUUUUUAAAAAAAAACGGUGGUCUGGCACACCGAAAUCAAUGUCAGGUGGCAACUCUGAGAUAUUUCCUUUCGAACACAAAGUUUUGUCACUUUCAAAAUUGAAAAACCUUUUCAAGCUUUACUAAAUCUUUUUUUUUAUUAAUUUAAGAGGGUUUAGUGGAGUUUGUUUAAAAAAGGGGUGUGACACUUAUAUUAACUAGUUCCUACCCCAUUUAACUAGUUUUGGAUCGUUUGGCUCCAAAUUGAGAGUUUGGGCUCGUUCUUGGUAUUGGAAGAAUACUUUGGAACGAGGUAAGUCUCCUUUCUAACCUUGUAAGAGAGAAUUGUCCCCAUAGGUGUAAUACUUGAAUAAUUUGCUACUAAAUGUGGGGGCUACGUACGCACUAGGUGAUGAGAGUCCGUGCGUAACUACUAUUAUGUAAUUGUCCGGGUAGUCUAGGACCCGUAUCAUGCUAUAUCUGUGUGUCUAUAUUUUCUUGCUAAUGUGAUCACUUAGGAUAUGCUAGAGACUCGGAAAGGAAUAUAAGCGAACGUAUAUACUUGUUGAACCCUUGUAUGAAUUUAUUUGAAUAUAAAUGCUCCUUCAUGUGUUUUCUUAAUAUUAAUUGAUAUUUGUGGAUCAGGCCGAUCGCCUCGGUUGAAAUAGAUGCAUCUAUAGUUCGCGCCAUUCGACUCUUUGGCAGUGCACGGUUUAUUUCCUGUUGGAUCGGGUCGUCGACCUCGGCAUAAUGUGCACAUGAUAUCUAUGUGAAAUCUUAUCCAUGACUUGUUUUGCUAAAGAUUUGAAAUGUAAAUGGCUAACUGUAAUAUUGUUAAGAACAUGACUUAUUACCUCUUGCUACAAACUGUUGAUUAUUUGUGACUCCCAUGCUUAGCAUGACACUUUAUUAUAUCAUUUGACCCUAGUAGGUGUCAAGUCGGCCUCUCGUCUCUGCUUCUUUGAGAUUAGACGGGAUACUUACGGGGUACAUAUUGUUUAUGUACUCAUACUAUACUUUUGUACUUAAUUGUACAGGAUCUGAGGCAGGUACAUCUGUCUAUCAGUCUGGUGCGCGCCUUUGAUUCAUAGUCCGAGACUUCCACGAUGAGCUGUUCCCUUCCUGUGCCGCUCAGCAGCUUGAUGGAGUCUUCCUUUACUUUUGCUGUCUAUUCUAUUUCGGACAGUAGGAUAGAUUUAUUCUUUUGUAUAUUCUACUAGUUGCCCAUUACUUGUGAUACCGGGUCUUGGCACACACAUUAGUAGACUAUUAUUUUGGGGAUUGUGUAAUUAUUUUUGGUACAUUAUUGGUUAUUUCUUGUUUUAAUUUUAACUUAAGAAAUUGCCGCAACUGUUUUGGUAAA
rnacentral:lncRNA from 1 species